rnacentral:rRNA from 1 species
UACGUAGGUGGCAAGCGUUGUCCGGAUUUACUGGGCGUAAAGUGUGCGCAGGCGGCGCUGCAAGUCGAGUGUGAAAUCCCCGAGCUUAACUUGGGAAUUGCGCUCGAAACUACGGCGCUGGAGUAUGGCAGAGGAAGGUGGAAUUCCACGUGUAGCGGUGAAAUGCAUAGAGAUGUGGAGGAACACCGAUGGCGAAGGCAGCCUUCUGGGCCAAUACUGACGCUCAUGCACGAAAGCGUGGGGAGCAAACAGG